rnacentral:tRNA from 1 species
GGGACUGGAACUCAGUGGUAGAGUGCUUGCCUUGCAUGCAGGAGGCCUUAAGUUCAAUCCCUAGCACUGCCA